CUGAAAACUAAUGUUCGCUGCAUUUGCUUUCUCAUUCACUCUUUUGCCAUGAUAAUAAAAAUGGAGUAAAAACAAGGGGGUAAACUAGAUUGUGCAGCUGCUGUGGAAAUUUCAGUUAGAAUUUGGUUUACACAAAAUAUGAUGUUGCUUUUGAAGCAGAAUUCUGGCAUGUGAGGCAGUGCAUCUGUAUGACAUUCAUUAUGCUUCAAAAGCGUACGUUUGUAUGUAGUCUCAUCAAAGACAUGCAUGUUUUGUAGCUGCUCCACAUGCCCACAUUUGAACGUGGUGCAAAGAGCUCAACAUCACAGAUAGGUGUGCAGUGGUUCAAAGAGGAGACCCCAAACACAACACACCAGAGGGAGAUUAAAUACAAAAUCAAAAACUUUAUUGGCCAAAGGCACAAUCAAACACAGUCGGCGAGGCAAACGUGGCAGCCAAAGAGGCAAAAACCAGAAACUGUCCAAAAGUCCAGAUUAGCAAAACGCAUCAAAAAGUUAUCGUCAGAAGAGAGUGAGGAACAAAGUGAGGGUAUAAACUAGGAAAAUAACAAGGACUCAAACUGAGUUAGUGACUGGAUAACUUGAUUGCAACAAGUUUGAUUUCCAGAGACAACUGACAGAGAUACAUAAUGAACAGUAAAAGGCAAAUAAACUGAAAAUACUGACUGACUAAUAAAAAAAGAAAAGAAAAAAUGGUGGAAAAGGCAGAAAGAUGAGAAUAAAAAACAAACAGUAUAUAGAGGUAUUAGAAAAAGUGCAGGGUUGUGUGGUAGCAUUAACAUAUGGGCCAAAACAUGUUACUAUAUCUAUAUCUGCAUUCAUUACUUAUAGAAGAAGAAGGUGUAGCUGGUGAAUCCAUUUCUCUGAGCAUUUCUCUGAGCUCUGUAAACCCCACAGUUUAAUGAGAAGUGAAGACGAGCCAUCGGAGGUACAACCAUAAACUCUGCCCCCACAAACAUCUGGAACAUUCAACUGGAAACUUGGAAACUGGAAACCAGGUCAGUGUGACACAAAACCGGUUUUCUUCACAGGUUUAAGGUCUGCAGUGAUGAAGAAGAGUAAAGAACAGUCUUCAAGCAGCACUGGGAACAGUCUAGAGGUGCGAGAGAAGAUGAUCUUAAAAGGGAAACACCGAGCAACAUUGGACAAGUUGAAAUCAGGGAGGUUUUGAGUCUUUCAGAACCUUAUGAUGACACCGUUUAUGGAUAUUUAAUACCAGUCCAUCCAUGUGUGCAAGAAGCCAAUGGGAAGUCAGCCAGACUUGGUCAUGCAUGGGCUUGAGCUUUACG
ensembl:lncRNA